CCCCUCUCAGGGUAGCAUCUGGAGAGUUUCCAGUACUCUCCAGGCUCGGUUAUGGGACGGAGAGUCAAGCAGAGGCCUAUCCAUUCCAUUCCUAGCUUGGCCAGUGGCUAGCGAGUGGAAGGCAAUCUGCUAUAAUU